rnacentral:rRNA from 1 species
UACAGAGGGUGCAAGCGUUGUUCGGAAUCAUUGGGCGUAAAGGGCGUGUAGGCGGUUUGUUAAGUCAUGUGUGAAAUCCCUCGGCUCAACCGGGGAACGACGCAUGAAACUGGCAAGCUAGAGUACCAAAGAGGGGGGUGGAAUUCCCGGUGUAGCGGUGAAAUGCGUUGAUAUCAUCAGGAACACCAGAGGCGAAGGCGGCUCACUGGGUCUCUUCUGACGCUGAGGAACGAAAGCUAGGGGAGCAAACAGG